rnacentral:rRNA from 1 species
UACGGGGGGAGCAAGCGUUGUUCGGAUUUACUGGGCGUAAAGGGCGCGUAGGCGGUCAGCACAAGUCAGUUGUGAAAUCUCCGGGCUUAACUCGGAAAGGUCAACUGAUACUGUGCGACUAGAGUGCAGAAGGGGCAACUGGAAUUCUCGGUGUAGCGGUGAAAUGCGUAGAUAUCUGGAGGAACACCGGUGGCGAAGGCGGCAUCCUGGACCGGCAUUGACGCUGAGGCGCGAAAGCGUGGGUAGCGAACAGG